ensembl:lncRNA
GCACAUUGCACCUUCAAGCUAACCACUGCAUAAUAUUGCCCACACAUUAGGCAUGUACCUUUUAAUUACCUUGGGGAUAGUUUUUACCUUUCACUAAGAAAACCGAGGCUCUAUGGAUCGCGCUAACCUUCUCAAGGUCACAUAAUGAGACAGGGGUUAUUGUAUCCGGGAGCCUGACAGGUGCUCUUUUCACGGACACCGGCUGGGUCUCUCGGGAAGUUGCUGAUGAUGACAGCGAUGAGCUCACCUGACAGACUGCUCUUUCUCCCUCUUCGGAGACUCACUUCCACACCAGGAAGAACCCGGAGCAGUGACUCACAGUUCCCGGCAUCAGUGCCAGAGUGUGUGCUGCCGUUCUGACCGUGAGUGUGAUGAUCAUGCCAGGGAGUCAGAUGUCUGCUGGAUUUAGAAAAGGGCCGAAGGUCAUAAAGGGAAACAACAAACCUAAGGGCUGCCGGGAGUUCUGUAGCUCUUGCAGCAUCUCUUCCCCACCCUUCUUCCCAGCAGAGGAAGCUACCAGAGGAGGAAGGACAGCAAGGAGAGGCACAAUAAGGCACACCUGGAAUAUUACUACUUGGGAAGUAAAACAAGAUAGAUCAGCGAUCAAGGGCAGUGUCCAAGACCAGCCUGCAUCACCUAAGACCUUCCUUAAAAACAAAACAAAGUACAAACCCAAAAUGGUGCUUACUACUGAUCCACCUGCGUUCAUUCAUGAAUAUUUAGCUAUAGUGAUCUCCCAUGUGACUGAAAGUUCCUAUGUUGUCUGACUUUAUAUAAAACAUAAUAGUCUGCACUGGCCUGUGGAUUUGGCUUGAGGUUAGAUCCCUUGAAAAGUCUACUGCAAACAAAGUUAGCUCCCCACUGGAAAUUGCUGUCUAAAAUUCCAACAGAAAUGUUGACAUAGUAUUGUAUUUUUAUUCAUUGAAACAUCUCUGACUAUAGUAAUAUUUCCUUUUUUAAAAAACCUUUUUCCAGUCCUGGCACUGAACUCAGGGCUUUGCAAGGCACUCUAACCACUGAGCGUUAUCGCCAGCUUUUUGUUUGUGUACUUCUGUGCGGGAGCAGGUGGUGCCUGCAGAGGCUAGAGGAGGGCAUCAGAAACCUGAAUCUAGAGUUAUAAAAGGCUGCGAGCUGCCCAGCACAGGUGCUGGGAACUAAACCGGGUCUUCCAGG